GUCUACGGCCAAACCACCCUGAACGUGCCCGAUCUUGUCUGAUCUCGGAAGCUAAGCAGGGUCGGGCCUGGUUAGUACUUGGAUGGGAGAUGUAACUUUUUAUCCCGGCACUCAGGCUGUCUGUAAUCA
rnacentral:rRNA from 1 species